rnacentral:lncRNA from 1 species
GGCACGUUCCCAUUUUAGUAAGACUUCAACAGCUGAAGUGAACACCGACAGCUAACUUCUUACCUGCUGCAAUAACCUCAAAUUACUUUUCUGUGGGGAACAUUGUAAUGCUUGCAGGCUUCUGGAUGCUGUUAUGAGACAUCCCCGCAAGAAACUAAGGGUUAUCCAUUCUGCCAGAUGAAGGGGAUUUUUGGCAACCAGCUUUGCUGAAGUAAAUUUGAUCGACGUGGUGCUCUUGGCUACGCGUGAGGUGGAGAAAUAUCAGCGGUGUCGUAUACUGAACCCUACCAAGGAUGCAGCUCCACUGCCUGUGCCCCAUCGGACCUGUCCUCGUCCCCUUUUCCUGCUGCUCCAAAGUUUAACAUAAAUCUUUAUGAGAGUUUGCAAAUAGCGAAAUAACCUUUGGCGUGAG